GGUGUAGCCAAGCGGUAAGGCACCGGAUUUUGAUUCCGGCAUUUCGUAGGUUCAAAUCCUGCCACC
rnacentral:tRNA from 1 species